rnacentral:rRNA from 1 species
AGUGAACGCUGGCGGUAGGCCUAACACAUGCAAGUCGAACGGCAGCACAGAGGAGCUUGCUCCUUGGGUGGCGAGUGGCGGACGGGUGAGGAAUACAUCGGAAUCUACUCUGUCGUGGGGGAUAACGUAGGGAAACUUACGCUAAUACCGCAUACGACCUACGGGUGAAAGCAGGGGACCUUCGGGCCUUGCGCGAUUGAAUGAGCCGAUGUCGGAUUAGCUAGUUGACGGGGUAAAGGCCCACCAAGGCGACGAUCCGUAGCUGGUCUGAGAGGAUGAUCAGCAACACUGGAACUGAGCCACGGUCCAGACUCCUACGGGAGGCAGCAGUGGGGAAUAUUGGACAAUGGGCGCAAGCCUGAUCCAGCCAUACCGCGUGGGUGAAAAAGGCCUUCGGGUUGUAAAGCCCUUUUGUUGGGAAAGAAAUCCAGCUGGCUAAUACCCGGUUGGGAUGACGGUACCCAAAGAAUAAGCACCGGCUAACUUCGUGCCAGCCGCCGCCGAA